CUGAGUUUGGCUGCUUCCUUGGGGAAGAAGAGGGGUGGGGGCCUCAGGUGUGGGAGACAAAUGACCAGGCAGUGUCCAAAAUGUAUAAUCUGCUGAUGGAGUGAAUUUGAGCAAAUUUCUCGAAUCAUUCGUUGUAAACCGAGAGUGAGGCGGCCAUGACUGAGCCGGCAUUGGUGCAAGAACACCUUGUCCCUCCAGGGCCGCCUUUCGUGGAGCGAACUCGGCUCAGGUGCGUUCACUGAUAACUUCAGCACACACCUGUGCAGGGCAGCUGUGCGAUAGGCACCUAGUAGGGACUGUCUUCUUGGAGCUGACUUUCCAGUGGGGCAAGCAGAUAAAAAUCAAGUACCUGGACUUAAGAAAUUACACCCUGAGAGGGGUCGAAAGAAAAGGUAUCGGGAGCAGGUCAUGACUGGCGAAGCCAGCGAAGCUCUAAUGGACCUGGCUGCCUUUCCUGAGACCCCUCCACAUUGGACUCGACAUGACCUUCCACCAGGAGACUCGGUGUACUAGAAGAGACAUCAAGGAAAGGCUACUUUAUAAUCUAGAUGGAAAGGACUUGAUCAAGUCUUAUUGAAUUGGUCACUGCUAUGGCAGUAAAACUACAGGGAAUUGACCCUUGGGUCUAUAUGUCACAACUAACACAUGCUCCAGGCCCUUUAGAGGAUACUUCCAUUUCGAACCUCAAGCUACAACUGAAGUGAAGAUGUAGAUGCAUCUGUUGUAGACAGCACCUGCCCAAGAUUCUGGAACAAGCAGAUGACACCCAAGAUCAUGGAUUAAGACGCACCCAGAUUUUAUCUUA